AGAGUUAAUCAUCAGAUUUGACACAAAUUUUAAGGCUAAAUGUUUUUGUAUUCACCUGUAAAUGUGGCGUCAGGAGAAGAAUGGCCGCCAGCAUAACCAGGGUAGCUCCACGCAGCCACACCAAGAUAGGACCCAGAGUGAAUGGACACCCAUCCUCAACCAGGCACCGUGGAGCUCCUCUGAGAGACUGUCAGUCUGCUCAGUUACAGAAGACUGUGACGGCCAGGCUAAGGUUAUGGAUGAUCAGUAUGUCCCGUCGCAUCCUCUUCAUGAACCACAAAGUUCUGAUGGUAACCAAGACAAGACGACAGCAGUCGGAAAACAAGAAGCACAAACACAGGAAAAGGGGACGCAAACUGUCACCGAUGUCACCUCAAAAUGUCCAACAUCGGACGUUUCCACUCAGUGUUGUUUUGGAGCAGAGUGUAAAGCGAACGUCCUCAUGGUCAAUGAAUCAAUGAACACAACAGUUUACAGUGUAAUACCAACUCCGACAACCGGAGGGCAUGCAAGUGCCAGAGAUGAGUCUAUGAGACCACAAACACUCAGCGCGUCAUCAGACACUUUCGGGAGCGCGGGAGAAGAGCACACGCCCUGGACAGAAUCGACAGCCAGAGAGCUCAAGGCUGGACCUGGACACCAUCCAUCACUUAUCCCUUUAGACAAGCACUGUCACACCAACACAGAGAGUACAGUGGGUAUUCACAGACCUACUACGCUCGCGCUAGACACUCUUGUCGUCACCAAAGUACAAGACUUAAGAGGUCUGCAGCAGCAGUAUAAUGCCCUGGGAGAUGAAAGAGGGGUACCGGACUCUGUUGAGAAUGUGCCUUUUAGAGGAGACUUUCCAGAGGAGAGAGAGGUGAGGGUGAGAGGUAGAGCAGAGAAGAGGGAGGAGGUCACGGCUGAAAGCAGAGUUUACAUGCUUUCACAGGAGACUGACACACUUCAGGAAAUAGCAGACAUUCUGCUUAUGCUGAAGCAGAGAAAGAAAGAGUGA
rnacentral:lncRNA from 1 species